rnacentral:tRNA from 1 species
CGGGGUAUAGCUCAGUGGUAGAGUGCAUGCUUAGCAUGCAUGAGGUCCUGGGUUCAAUCCCCAGUGUUUCCA